rnacentral:rRNA from 1 species
UACGUAGGGCGCAAGCGUUGUUCGGAAUUACUGGGCGUAAAGCGCACGUAGGCGGAUCAGUCAGUUAGAGGUGAAAGCCCAGGGCUCAACCCUGGAACUGCCUUUAAUACUGCUGGUCUGGAGUCCGAGAGAGGUGAGUGGAAUUCCGAGUGUAGAGGUGAAAUUCGUAGAUAUUCGGAGGAACACCAGUGGCGAAGGCGGCUCACUGGCUCGGUACUGACGCUGAGGUGCGAAAGCGUGGGGAGCAAACAGG